GCGGGGGUGGCAGAACGGUCAUGCACCGGGCUGCAGACCCGGGGAACCGAGUCCGACUCUCGGCCCCCGCU
rnacentral:tRNA from 1 species